GGAGAAGAAGGAGAAGAAUUAAAGGAAUAAGAAUGGGCAGAGAGGAAGUUUUGGUGGAACCUGAGAUGGGUUCCGCCAUGGAAGAAGGAAGAAGAUGAAGCGGAAGAAGAAGAAGCAGAGAAACGCUCAGAAGGGGGAAAGGUAAGGGGAGAUGGAAGAAGAGAAAGAGAUGAAGCAGCGGCCAUUAAAGGCAGUAGAAAGGAAAUGGGUUUGAUGAGAGUGCUAUAUUGAG
rnacentral:misc_RNA from 1 species